rnacentral:sRNA from 1 species
GAUGUAGGACUUGGGAGGCUCCUGAGAACAGCAUCACUCUAUUUGCAAGUUUGGUUGUAAUGUCUGAGACUUGCUUCAGGAAAUGUAAUGUCAAAAUAUAAUACAUCCUUUCCCAGGAACCAUCAUUGACAUAAAAUAGCAGGUUGAGCAGAUUGUCUUCGCAGUUUUACCGACUUAGAAGAACUUGAUGAGACAGAGUUAUAUAUGUGCCAUAAAUGCAAAAAGAAACAAAAGUCCACAAAAAAGUUUUGGAUUCAAAAACUACCCAAGGUGCUAUGCUUACAUUUGAAAAGAUUUCAUUGGACAGCAUAUUUAAGAAAUAAAGUUGAUACAUACGUAGAAUUUCCACUGAGAGGCCUAGACAUGAAAUGCUACUUACUAGAGCCUGAGAACAGUGGCCCGGAGAGCUGCCUGUAUGACCUCGCCGCUGUGGUGGUGCACCAUGGUUCCGGGGUUGGUUCUGGACAUUACACAGCAUACGCAACUCACGAAGGCCGCUGGUUCCACUUCAAUGACAGUACUGUAACACUGACUGACGAGGAGACUGUGGUGAAGGCGAAGGCCUACAUCCUUUUCUACGUGGAACACCAGGCCAAAGCUGGAUCGGAUAAACUUUAAUACCUCCUCCAAAUCAUCAUUCACCAACCAUACCAGAGAAACAUUUCCAGUUUUCCACAAAUACUUGAUACAAGAUUUAAUUUCAUUAUGCACUUUUCA